CCUACGGGAGGCAGCAGUGAGGAAUAUUGCUCAAUGGGGGAAACCCUGAUGCAACGACGCCGCGUGCGUGAAGAAGUAAUUCGUUGUGUAAAGCUCUAUCAGCAGGGAAGAAAAUGACGGUACCUGAGUAAGAAGCCCCGGCUAACUACGUGCAAGCAGCCGCGGUAAUACGUAGGGGGCAAGCGUUAUCCGGAUUUACUGGGUGUAAAGGGAGCGUAGACGGCAGUGCAAGUCUGGAGUGAAAGGCGGGGGCGCAACCCCCGGACUGCGCUGGAAACUGGACGGCUGGAGUGCAGGAGAGGUAAGUGGAAUUCCUAGUGUAGCGGUGAAAUGCGUAGAUAUGAGGAGGAACCCCAGUGGCGAAGGCGGCUUACUGGACUGUAACUGACGUUGAUGCUCGAAAGCGCGGGGAGCAAACAGGAUUAGAUACCCCUGUAGUC
rnacentral:rRNA from 1 species